UUUACAAGCAAGUGAAUUUAUUCCAAAGCUAGCUUGGGGAAGAAGCGGUACAGCUUCACUUUCGGAGUAGAAAGCGGACGUUUUUAUAAGAUGAGAGGCAGGACUAGAUUGCAGCUCCCACUCGGACCGACAGAGCAGUAUGUGGUAUGGAGGCUUGUAUUGUGAACUUCUGCUCCAGAACAACUGCAGGAAUAAAUCAGGAAAGCCAGGAAAACCCACAGAUGCUCUGAAGGAAGUGGAUUGCUCCUGCAGGACCUGGCAGACACCUCAAAUACUGAACACAUUUUGCCAGUAGACUAUACUACCACAAUGAAAUAGCCCAGUAUUCAAGAGUUACAACAUCAGACAGAGUGAAGAAGAAGCCUCAGAUCCAGAACCACCAACAGGCACAGAAAAAAAAAAAAAAAAAAAAAAAAAAAAAAGAAAAAGAAGCUACAAGAAAUGCCUUAUUUUCUUCAGUCAGUGGUCUAGAGAAAGGUGGCCUAGCAUCAGAAAGUAUUUUUGGCAAUACUUGUCUACAUCAGUCAAAUAUGAACAGGAAUGAUACUCCUCAGUUCUUGCAGAUUUAGCAGAGCCAAACGGAAAGUUGAUCUUCCAUACUCCCUUUCCUCCACCCUUGGAAGAGGGCGGCAUGCUGUAGUUUUCCCCCUGGACUUUGUCAGCCUGGCUGAGCAGGGAUCUGGUCUUCUUUCCCUCUCCUGGCAGAAGUAGGUGACAGUGAUCCAAUUUUACUGCAGGUGAAGUGUUGGGGAGAUUGAGUAUGAAUCCGCAUUCUACACAGUUGAAGCACGUAGUGUUCAGAUUGUUCUACCAUGAUUGUGUUCGCUGGGUCUAUCGGUGCAUAAAGCUGCCAUUCCCACCCAGCAGCAGCAAGACUUAAUGAGAUGGUCCAGAAGGGGGCUUCACCCUUUCUACUUCUGUCCUGUCAUGUGACUGGGGCCAAAGGGUAGCUGAAAAUACUCAACCACACAGACCGCACAUAAUACCUCAACAGAAGAACUGCCUGAAAAACUGAAAAAGAUUCAAUAGAUUGCAGAGUUUCAUAACACAAUAUCCAAAAAGUACAGAAUUUUACCGACAAUCACAUAAGAAACAGGAAAAUCAACAGAAACAAACUCCAAGAUGAAUUAGAGGUUGGAAAUAUCUAACAAGGAUUUUAAAGCAACCAUCAAAGUGCUUCAACAAGCAGUUAUGAGUUCUCUUGAAGCAAAUGAAAAAUUAGAAAAUCUUGGCAAAAAAGAAGGAUAAUCAAGAUAAGUAAACAUAUCUGUAUUAAUCUGUUUUCACACUGCUAAAAAGAACUGCCUGCGACUGGGUGAUUUAUAAAGAAAAGAGGUUUAAUUGACUCACAGUUCUUCAUGGCUGGGGGCCCUCAGGAAACUUACAGUUAUGACAGAAGUUGAAAGGGAAGCAGGCAUGGCUUACAUGGUGGCAGGAGAAAAAGAGAAAGAAGGGGGAAGCAACUUCUUUCAGACGCUUACCAAACUACUAGAUCUCAUGAGAACUUACUCACUAUUGUGAGAACAGUAAGGGGGAAAUCUACCCCCACGAUUCAAUCACCUCCCACCAGGUCCCUCCCUAGACACAUGGGGAUUAGAAAUUGAGAUCAAAUUUGGGUGGGGAUACACAGCCAAACCAUAUCCUUCGGCCCCUGGCCCCUCCCAAAUCUCAAGACCUUUUCACAUUUCAGAACAAAUUAUGCCUUCCCAACA